AUUCCAGCUCCAAUAGCGUAUAUUAAAGUUGUUGCAGUUAAAAAGCUCGUAGUUGGAUUUCUGAUAGGGAGCCGAUCACCACUGUUGUGAGUGUUAGGUACCUGUCAUCCUUCUGUUAACCCCUGCGGCAUUCAUUUGUCGUUGGGCGGACCAGAUACUUUACCUUGAGAAAAUUAGAGUGUUUCAGGCAGGCCUAGCCGGAAUACAUUAGCAUGGAAUAAUGGAAUAGGACUAUAGUCUCGUCGUUGGUUACGUGGACUGCAGUAAUGAUUAAUAGGGAUGGUUGGGGGCGUUUAUAUUCCGUUGUCAGAGGUGAAAUUCUUGGAUUUACGGAAGAUAAACUACUGCGAAAGCAUUCGCCAAGGAUGUUUUCAUUA
rnacentral:rRNA from 1 species